rnacentral:antisense_RNA from 1 species
AUGAGCAAGCGAAAGUGGCGCGGAUUUCGGGGCGCCCAGCCGGAGCGAGCGCGGCCGCCAGCCGCAAGUCCGCAGCCGUGUCCCGCGCCCCACGCCGGCCUCCCCGGCGGCAGCCGGAGACGAGCGCCAGCACCGGCGGGACAGCAGCAGAUGCGGGCCGAGAGCCGGUCAGGGGCGCAGAGGCGGCGGGGAUCGGCGCGGCGGGGAGCUCACCGCGAAGCUGGAGGCUGCGUCCGCGGGCGCACCAGGAGCUCAGGCAGCGGGCGAUCGAACGCUCUGUGGCGGGCGGUGGACGCUGCUGAAGCUCUGGCGCUGAGCUCACCGCUCCGCCGUCGGUGGGACCAAGCCCAGCAUUUUACAAACCCAGCUCCUUUCUCCAAGGGUCCUCAGAGUGCCCCUCCGUCACCCCCUGCAGGGCGCCGCAGACGAGGCGUUGACCUUGCGCUCGCUCCCCUCGCUGGGGAAGGACACACUCGCUGGCGUCAGCCCGGCCGGCCUGGGAAGUCAGACUAAGGACCCGAACUGCAACCCUCCACACCAGACAGCACAGACCACCCCAAGGCUGCUCAAUCUGCCCAAAGCCAAAAGUAUGUGGGGGAUAUGGGUCCAGGUUGGGGUGCUUGGGAGAGGGCCCUGGGAGAGGGGUUCAGACGGUGCACACUCCAAAGGACUGAGGCGGCGCCACUGUGUUACCAUUUUAUUGAGUGUCUAAGGUAAAGACACCUUUGAAAGAACACUCCCGGCUUCUAUCUGGGAUGGGCAAACCAGCCUGAAGGGUCACCUGCUGGAUCCCUGCCUGCAGGCCCUGUCGUGGGGCAGGUGCAGGGACUCCAAUCCAUGUGCCUCCAGCUCCAACGCUCCCCAAGUCCUGGAGCCUCCCCUGUCACCCCAGUGCCUGACCAGUGAAUGGGUGCUGUCCCCACUACAGAGCUCCCUCUGGUUGAGGCAGAAGCCACUGGCUGGGCCUUUCUAGCCACCUUUCACCCCCCUUGCACACGGGAAGCCCCGCAGGCUCCUGACCGCAAUGGGAUCCUGACGCCGGAGCCCCUUAGGCCCUUUGCUCAGAAGGCCUCUGGUUAUUACCUCAAUUCUGAACAGCCAGGAGGCCUGAGACUGUCACCCACUUUGAUAAAUACAGACUGACAGAAAGGUCAGGCCAUUGGUGCAAGACCCCAUGGCCAGCAGCCUGGGGCGGGGAGAACCCGGGGGUCUCACAGCCCCCAGCAGAGCCCAGCUUUCCUUGGGUUUUUGGGUUCUUCCCCAAUGAUAUUUUCCCUUUUUCCCUCUCUACCCACUUUCUGCCCCCCAUCUUCUCCCCUUUGGCUGCCCGCUCUCUCCCUGCCCCUCUCCCCUUCUUUGCCCUCUUUCCUCUCCCAGGAGCUCCCCUGCCAGGACCUCGGUGCCGUGGAGACUGCGGGGAACCUGCUCUGCCCACACCUGCUCUGGCCCCUGGACGGAAGCACCUGGAGCCAACCACGGAACUCCAGAUCCCAGCUGUGUGACUGAAUCCACGCCAGCCUCUCUGAGCCAAAGCUGCUUGCAGAAGGGGGAGAUCCCAGUUCGAAGACUCCCGCGCAGAGCCUGUGGCCCUCUCUGCCAGGCCUCAGGGUGCCUGAGACACUCACCUCUCUGCCUCUGCAGUUGGCGCUGAGGCUGGGGCUGGCCGCCAGCCUCAGUUCUGGGAGCGCUGGGGUCGCCUGGGCCACAGGCCGCAGCAGCUCACCUCAGGACUGGGCUCUCUGGCCUGCUGGGGCUCAGGCUGUGGGGCAGGCUGGGCAGGGGGCUGAGCUGGCAGCGAUUCAGAGCCCUGGGGCUGGGGGCUGGAAUCCACCUCCUCCCACACAAGCUCGGUGGUGACUCUUCGGCCC